UGCGUAGGCGGCUAUAAGGGUCAGAUGUGAAAUCCCACAGCUCAACUGUGGAACUGCGUUUGAAACCGUAUAGCUUGAGGAAGUCAGAGGUAAGCGGAACUGAUGGUGGAGCGGUGAAAUGCGUUGAUAUCAUCAGGAACACCGGUGGCGAAGGCGGCUUACUGGGACUUUUCUGACGCUGAGGCACGAAAGCUAGGGGAGCGAACAGGAUUAGAUACCCUGGUAGUC
rnacentral:rRNA from 1 species